rnacentral:lncRNA from 1 species
UUGCAUUACGAUGCUUUCUACCUAAUAGCACGUGGAUAUGUUUACAUAUUUAGACUUGACCCAGUUUGACCCGUACCUUGUAGGUCACCGCCGUCGUUUAAACACUAGACUACAGUCGUGUAAGACAAUAAAAAGCUUAAGCCUGUACUAUUUGUGUGAAGUAAAUGUGUUUGUUCUGUACAUUAAAAUUGUUUUACCUGAUAACAAGGACGUAUAUCUACCCGUUUCCUUCUCAAUUCACUUUGUCAAAUUCUUCUAGCUUCUUCAAAACAUACGUAUUACUGCGCCCGGAAGUGAGAAAAAUAUGAGAAAUCCUCGUAAAAUAAUGCUAUUUUCAAUUUUGUGGAAUCCAUUUUGUUAUAUUUAUUAUACAAAGAUAAAAAAAAGUUACGAUUAAUUAUGAAUUUGCAUAUCAUUAUACGGAACGUUUAUGGACUAUUUUCCAUAGCGGUAAAUCGGUCAUUCUGGUGGGAAAUCAUGUACACAUACACACGUAGAUUGGCUGGUACCCGAUCGUAAUGUUACACAUCACAUAUAUAAAAUAGCUAAUACCCGGAACGUAGUACCGGGAACCAGGAUAAUACGUAGACAACAUACAUAACUAGAACCGAAAUUGAAAACGCUUUACGGUUUCUCGUUCAUAAACCGAAUUCCGCU